AGAAUCAACGCUGGCGGCGUGCCUAACACAUGCAAGUCGAACGAGAAAGUGGAGCAAUCCAUGAGUAAAGUGGCGCACGGGUGAGUAACACGUGACUAACCUACCUUUUAGUGGGGGAUAACCUAGGGAAACCUGGGCUAAUACCGCAUAAUACCUACGGGUCAAAGCAGCAAUGCGCUGAAAGAGGGGGUCGCGGUCGAUUAGUUAGUUGGCAGGGUAAUGGCCUACCAAGACUGUGAUCGAUAUCCGGCCUGAGAGGGCGCACGGACACACUGGAACUGAAACACGGUCCAGACUCCUACGGGAGGCAGCAGUGGGGAAUUUUGCGCAAUGGGGGAAACCCUGACGCAGCAACGCCGCGUGGAGGAUGAAGUCCCUUGGGACGUAAACUCCUUUCGAUCGGGACGAUAAUGACGGUACCGGAAGAGAAGCCCGGCUAACUCGUGCCAGCAGCCGC
rnacentral:rRNA from 1 species